AAGCUUCAAGCGUAACAAAAACCGUUAAAUUAUUCAUCACCUACAUUGUUUACUAACUUGCUAUGCCAAUAAUGUAAAAAUUAUCUCGCAAAAAGCCACGAGUUGUUUAACAAAUUCUAAUAAAUGUUUAGUCCAAAAGUACGGCAUUUCUUGUUUUUUCGAGGUCUAACGGAAAUGUCACUAGCACUGGCACUUUAAUUAGUCACACUACAAAAUAACCAAAACCGAACAGAUCCGCAUUAUACAAUAGGGUUAUGAAAAGAAAAUGGAGGCACCGCAGUUUAGAGUGGCCCUAACAAAAAUUUUAGGGUUAUAUAGUGAAACAAUUUAUUUAUACAAGGUCAUCUUAAAACUAAUAAAAUUUACCACACAAGUCACUCAUUUUUGGAAUGCAUUAUGAGAGUCCGUACGCGUUUCUAGCAAUGUCCUGUUUUUUUGUGCAGCGAAGCAGUCAUCGCUUCCGGUUUAUAGGAGACAGUUUGUGGUUGAGAAUAUCUACUAUUGAAUUUUUGAUUCUGUGUCACAAGAUCAUAGCAUUCAUGUCACUGGGCAUCAGCCAAAAUAGGGGUGUGGUAACAAUGGCCACUUACGUCUUACGACCGGCGACGCAUGUUUUGUAUAUAAAUAGUUUGUAUAAUAGAAUUUUUUGUCAAAACAUAUAAUCAAUAUUUGGUAUAAUUUAUCUUUAUUCUUGUAACAUUCCAUUCCCAUGACAUAAUUUAAAAGUAAAUAUUUAUAUACUUUUAAUACUUACUUUAAUAAUUACUUAAUAAAAGUAAAUAGUUGUCGGUAGUUUUCGGGAAUUACCCAAUAAUAGUAUUAUUGGGGUAAUUCCCGAAAACUAUUUUAUUUUUGAAAAAUUUUUUUUGGGGCCCACCCGCCUUUGUAGUUUAAUUAGCCCCCGCAAAGGUAUGUAGUUUGGGUAACCCUGAACUAGAAUCACGUUUUAAUACCAGGUAGGUCGUGAGUUCCUCUGCUUAACUUCGGUUAUAAGAUGGCUUUGCUAUUAUUAGUAAAAUUUGAAGUAUUUUAUUCAGAAAAAUAUUCAAUAUAAGAUUUACACAACAUUGAUUAUAAUUACUUAAUUUAUUUUCAUUGUUAUGGAUUUUCUGAUAUGCUAAAAGCGGUAGAGCGGUAUAAGGGGUUAACUCAGGUAUUACUGUACCACAUUCGAUAUCAACAUUCAUGUAUGCAGAACAAAAGUUACCUACGGCAUGAGAUUAGAAUUCCAGGUAGAAGUGUAAAAAUUCUUAGAUUAUUAGUAAGCAUCAUUCUAGUAAACUUACCUUAGAUUUGACAUCACAUCUUGGAUUGCAACGGGAAAAAACAAAUUCAUUACUUUUUAUAGAAAUAAUGAUUACAUUUUAAAAUUAAAAAUCUACAUCAUUAAGAUGUGGCGUGAUCACGUUUCAGUCAGUCUUCUAACUACCAUAUACAGGACCGGAUUUAAACUUAAUGCCGCUCCUGGGCACCGGAAAAAAGUCCGCCCCAAUACUGGAAUCUUACUUAAACUUAUAGUUUAUAUAUUUUAUUUUUCAAAAUUAAAAAACUAAUUUAUUGCGGAAACCUUAUCAUUCGUCAUAUAUUCCAAAAACAUAAAUAAUUAUUUGUUUUUUUUCUAACAAUUAAAAAAUUUUGGACUAAGGGUGUCACAUAAUUAUAUUACUUAAAAAAGAAAAAAGAAAAAAAAUUAAAAUGAUUAAUUAACUAUAUUGAACAAUCUUGAAUCGACUAAAAAAUUUUUUUUUACUUUCAAAAAUUUGCCGCCCUGGGCACUGGCCCCAACUGCCCCUAGUGUAAAUCCACCACUGACCAUAUAACUACUCCACUAAAAUAUAACUACAGCAGAAGAAGAAGUGUCUGUAGAGCAAAGAUGUUUACAAAAAAAAACGCAAAAAUUGUAGGUACCCCAAAUCACAGAUCCCUACAUUUUAGUGCUUGUUUGGUCGGCGAAUAACGUCGUGGCAAUCCUAGAUUUUAAAUUAAUAACGGUUAAGCGUGUUAGGGGUCAACUUGUUUGUUGUAUGAUUUCUAUUUAUUGAAGUAGUAUUUUGUUGACGUACAUCACUACAUAGUAUAAAACAAAGUCGCUUUCUCUGUCCCUAUAUCCCUAUGUAUGCUUGUAUGCUUAAAUCUUUAAAACUACGCAACGGAUUUUGAUGCGGUUUUUUUUAAUAGAUACGAGUGAUUGAAGAGGAAGGCUUAUGUGUAUAAUAACUGAUGGUAAAUGAUGGAUGGACGAGCUCACGGCCACCUGGUGUCAAGUAAUUAUCAGACCCAUAGACAUCAACAACGUAAUUGCUGCCACCCACCUUGAGACAUGAGUUCUAAGUCUCAAUUUUAUAGUAAAACGGCUGCCUCAGCCUACAAACCGAAACACAUUACCUACUGCUUAACGGCAAAAAUAGGCAGGACGAUGAUACCUACCCGUGUGCACUGACAAGACGCCCUAUCACCACACUACUACCACAUUUUACUAUUAUACAUUUUAAAUAAAUAUCAUAACACACAAAAAAGUAUUAUGAUAAGAUUAUUGUUAAACAAAAAAUAUAGACGUAUAUAUUAUUAUAUAUUUUGCAUAUUUAAUUAUGUUGUUACACAGGUGUAAUUACGAAGUAUUAAUAUUAUAUGUAUUUAGGAUAAAUGUAAGACAGAUAUUAGACUGUUGGCGCUUAUAAUUUUUCCAUCUUUUUUUUUACUGAAGGAUUACUGGUGGCCCGAUGGCGUUUCCAGUUUCACCAGAACAGGUUGGCGAGCACGGGCUCAGCCAGGAGGGAUGGGAUUUGCUAACAGCUACCCGAGCGCCUCCAGAGGAGACCUAAAAACUCAAGAGUAUCUGCUUCGCGAAUGAAUUUACUAUCGGAUCGAAAUCGCGACCUGCUGAGAAGAUCCGGUGAGAAACUCGUUGGGGAAUUUUGCAUGUACAUCUGUCUGUACACUGUGUGUACAAGUUUACGAAAAAAUUAAGAUCUAUACAUAGUGUAGCGGAGGGAUGUAAAUAAAUAUCGUGCACAUAGGGCAGGAAGUAGUUUCUUUUUUCUUCAAGAAAUUUUCCAACAGGUUCGUACCACAAUCAUCCAAUUUCUGCCGCGAAGCAGUUAAGCAUUCCAAUUCAAAAGGGUGACACAGCCGUUAUACACUACAACUGAGACCUCAACCACAUUAGAAUGGAACUCGCAACCCAUCUGGCGUUCAGUGGUUCCCGGAGCCCGUUAAAAUCUCAACGUAAAUGCCUUCACCCACACUAAGACACGGGGUCGAUAUGUCAAUCGUAUUUCAUAACUUAAUAAAUAAAUAAAUAACGGCUGUCCCACCUAUCAAACGCGAAUGCAUGACUGUUUCGUAAUAAAGUUAUAGAAUGUUGAUGCACCUCAUGCAUUGAUGCAAGCCCAUAUGUAGAGCUACAUAUAAAAUACUAGCGGCCCGCUCCGGCUCCGCUCGGGUCUUUAACAAAAAUUUCAACGAUAUUUGACUUUAUUUUAUUUUUUAAAAUAAAAGAACGCUACUUGCGGCAUAACUUGCCGUAGGACCUCUUGUGAGUCCGCGCGGGUAGGUACCACCGCCCUGCCUAUUUCUGCCGUGAAGCAGUAAUGCGUUUCGGUUUGAAGGGUGGGGCAGCCGUUGUAACUAAAACUUGACCCUUAGAACUUAUAUCUCAAGGUGGGUGGCGCAUUUACGUUGUGGAUGUCCAUGGGCCCCAGUAACCACUUAACACCAGGUGGGUUUUGAGAUCGUCCACCCAUCUCAGCAAUAAAAAAAAAUCUUGUUAGGUAGGUCUGGUGCAAAUGCAUGCAUGCAAAUUGCAUGUGGUUUUGACUAAGAUGUCAGUGUACUCUAAAGUAACUCCUCAAACAAUCAGUGCAUCUGCCUGUUAUUUACUAUCUACAAUGCUUUGCCCUCCUCCUUUCCAUCUCAAAACUGGGAAGAAAAGAUUAUGACUGAGAAAAUAUUAUAUGCCUUAACCAUUUGCAGUAGUCGAGCUAGAUCUUAUACCUUUAAACGAGCAAUUCUUGUAUAUAUAUAUAAUCUGAACCUCGGAAACGGCUCCAACGAUUUUUAUAAAAAUUAGUAUACAGGGGAUUUCGGGGGCGAUAAAUCGAUCUAGCUACGAAUUAAUUUCAGAAAAUGUUGUUUAAUUCGUGUUUUCAAUAAUCAACUUUAUCGAUAAUUAACUUUAUGACUCUUCCCGACAUCUAUUGGUGAAUAAUAAUACUAUUAAGCUAUUUCAGCAGAUGGCGUUGUUAAGCCACCCGAAGCCAAUGAGUGUUUGGUUUAAGGUUAGACCAAGAAAAUGAAUUGUUUAUAUUUUAUAUUAUUUGUCUUUUUCAUAUAAAUUUAAAAAAAUACCGUACAAAGCUCGGUCAUCGUCUAAUUUUAAUAUAAAUGGUAAUAAUCCAUCAGACUUCCCUCAAUCAUCUAAUAAAUUGUCACCAUGACUGCUGUUACAGUGGAUUUCAGAGGUUCUAUUCCUGUUCAGAAUCAGUAUUUUUUGUUAGUACUGUAUUUUAGGGAAGACACUUAGAUAGCAGAAGGAAAAAAAUGUGCUUGGCUAUAUCUAAUCAUACCUACUAGAUAACUAAGGGAAUAUUCAGGAUAACUAAGCAUUUUGAGGAUCAUUGAAAUGCUAUUAAUUUACAAUAAGGGAAAUUUGAAAAAAAAAAACCAGUCAUUUAUAGGUUUUAGAGGAUUGGAAUAGAAGAAAUUGUCAUAGGAUGUUAAUAAGAGAAGACUUAUGGGACUUACUUCACUGUCAGAAUCAUAAUAAAUUAGAGACCGAGGAGUAAGGACCACCCAGCGCUCCUUGAAAUUUACUGGUGUAAAUAAAUUCUUAUUUUGUGACCUCUUCACCAUAAAUGCCUGCAGCAGAACUUCAUUGUCUUUUCCUGCCAUUUUUCACUGAAAUUUAAGUACGCGAAAUUUCACAAAUUUGAUUUAAAUCACUUAAUAAUUCCUGACAUUAGUAGAAAACUUUAUAAUUUUUGUAGCCUAAACUUCUACUGAUUUAAAUAAAACUAACCCAUU